AGAGUUUGAUCCUGGCUCAGAACGAACGCUGGCGGCAAGCUUAACACAUGCAAGUCGAACGGAUUAUUCUUUAUAGCUUGCUAUAAAGAAUAGUUAGUGGCAGACGGGUGAGUAAUGCAUAGGAAUCUACCUAGUAGUAUGGGAUAGCCACUAGAAAUGGUGGGUAAUACUGUAUAAUCCCUGCGGGGGAAAGAUUUAUCGCUAUUAGAUGAGCCUAUGUUAGAUUAGCUAGUUGGUAGGGUAAAGGCCUACCAAGGCGAUGAUCUAUAGCUGGUCUGAGAGGAUGAUCAGCCACACUGGAACUGAGAUACGGUCCAGACUCCUACGGGAGGCAGCAGUGGGGAAUAUUGGACAAUGGGCGCAAGCCUGAUCCAGCUAUGCCGCGUGAGUGAGGAAGG
rnacentral:rRNA from 1 species